rnacentral:rRNA from 1 species
UGGGGAAUAUUGGACAAUGGGCGAAAGCCUGAUCCAGCCAUGCCGCGUGUGUGAAGAAGGUCUUCGGAUUGUAAAGCACUUUAAGUUGGGAGGAAGGGCAUUAACCUAAUACGUUAGUGUUUUGACGUUACCGACAGAAUAAGCACCGGCUAACUCUGUGCCAGCAGCCGCGGUAAUACAGAGGGUGCAAGCGUUAAUCGGAAUUACUGGGCGUAAAGCGCGCGUAGGUGGUUUGUUAAGUUGGAUCUGAAAUCCCCGGGCUCAACCUGGGAACUGCAUUCAAAACUGACUGACUAGAGUAUGGUAGAGGGUGGUGGAAUUUCCUGUGUAGCGGUGAAAUGCGUAGAUAUAGGAAGGAACACCAGUGGCGAAGGCGACCACCUGGACUAAUACUGACACUGAGGUGCGAAAGCGUGGGGAGCAAACA